GUGUUACCUGCCCCGUGUUACCUGCCCCGUGUUACCUGCCCCGUGUUACCUGCCCCGUGUUUACUUGUGGUUCGGUUUGUGUUUCUUCAGUUUUAUUUGUUACUUUGUAUUUUCUGAUUCAGCUUUGUUUAUUAAAGGCUGGUUUUUUGUUAUAAUCUUAGUCUGUUGUCUGCAUUUGUCUUGAACCCUGACACUUUUAGCUCUGUGUUUGGUCUCCACCAGCUCCUGAGAUGAAUAUCUGUCUCUGAAGCUGCACCGUGUUCACCAGCUGGUCUCCAACUGUGUCCGUCUGCUGUUUGAUGACAUUAAAAUACAGCAAAGCAGUAGGUGAUGACAGCUUAUUAUCCUCUACAAAUAGCAAUUCAGCUGAUUUCCAAAGCUGAGACGCUGUGGAGGCGGAGCCGGCGCUAAUCAAAACUGCAGGGCAACUCUUUGCAAGAUCCAAGGGUUUCUCUGAGGAACAGAAGCCUGGAAUGGAGGCGAGGUGACCUCAGAUGAAACUAGCUCAACCCCCAACCGGUUACACUCGCUCAGGGCGACGAAGCUGCAGCCAGGCAGAGACAGCGAGGAGGCAAAAGGAACUAACUUCAAGGACAACACGGAUAAAGUGCACAAAGGCUCCUAUAAUAAUCUACAACCUUCUUCUGCCUGAAUCUGGACGACACAACUGGUGGAAAGAAGACAAGAGAAAAUGAAGAGAUGGACAUUUCUGCUCUGCGUUUUCUCUCUUAUUUGCAUUUUUAUCGGCCAUUUGAGGGCUGGUGAUGAACUGACUUUAGACUUGAUAUUGAGCCGCUGUAUAUUCUCUUUACUAUGAACUUGUGCACAUCUUAGCAAUAUGUUUGCACAUCCUGCACUGAACUGUUGUUAUAAUAUAUUUUUCUAUUCUAUAUUUAUGUUCUUGACUUCCCCUGUAUCUUCAAAUCCUCUUAAUACGUUUAUUGAAAGAUCCAAACACCAAAGGCAAAUACCAUGUAAGUGAAAAUGAUGUACACGCUUUUAAA
ensembl:lncRNA